rnacentral:lncRNA from 1 species
AAGGAGGAUGAUAUAAUAACUCUCCUCAUUUGUCGGUAACUCCUAUCCCACUGAUCAGCAUGCAUCUCUUCAUGUUGUUUUAUUUUGGUUUAUCUUUCCAAAUUUUUUUGUGCCAAUCAAUUCAUUCGAUCGAAUCACCAUGUAAUUUCACGGUGAAGCCAUUACCAGGCUGAAUGAGGCCUUCCACUUGGUGAAAUUAGGACCGACGGUUAGCAGUUUACAUUCGGCUGAGAUAAUUCUUUCCUAGAAUCAAUUUUUUGUCAGGCUUAUUUAAUGCCAUUUUCAAUGAACUUUCCAAAACAGCUCAGUGGUUAGGAUGCUGUAACCGGUGGAACUGGUCACUUGCUGAAGUUGAAAUCGAAAAUUAAACGUAAGGACAUUUCUAAGCCCCUCUAGAACGAAUGAUGAAUCUUGAAUAUCCCUGGGAGUUCUUUACUUCCACCUAAUCACCAUUUUUGUGCGCCCUCUUUCCAAAUUUUUUCAAUGCUCUCUGGUCGUCAUGGGGCUAUGAACGACAGAGGCCCCAUUAUGAAACAGAGAAGAUAACAACUUUAUCCCACAAGUUUCCAUUUCAUGGUACUAAUUUGUUUUAGUCUAUCCGCUGAGAAAUGAUCCUCGUUGGUGGAAAAUUCAUAAAGUAAGAGUGAUAUCCUAUUUAUUCGAACCAAUUAAACUGAAUGAAUGCAGUACAACUCAUCCAUAUAUUUCUAAACUGGAUUUUUGGACAGUGUCUCAGCAUGAAAUUCUGCUGCAGGAACAUUCCAUUACCAAUUCCAGAUCACUUCCAUUGACUUGAUCUUCUACCAAUCUCAAUGGCAUCAGUACUGCAAGGAAUUGAAGACUGAGAGGGAUUAAAAUUGUGUUUUCAAAUCAACAGGGCUUUGUACAGAGUAUGCUGAAGUCAUGAGUACGUUGCGGAUGGACUCCGCAGGUUGAAGAUUUUUCUUUUAAAUUUUUUUGUUGUCUGGAUUUUCUUUAUUUUCACUUGUUUCAAUGGUUUAGGGGAGGUGAAUACGAUUUUUAUGUGAAUUUUUAUUUCCUGAUUUCCCUUGGAUGAAUACCCCGAUAAUAUGAUCAAUUACACGUCUGGUAAUCUAUCUGUAAAUGUCGUUUCCUCAUAUAUCCUUUCUGGUUCUUAGGAAUUUUUGUAAAUCCUCAUCAAUCAAUCAGUGACUGAGUUCAGAGUUGAUAUCUGAAUUUAUAUGUAGACAUUUCUUUCCUACCAUACGUUUAAGUGGUAGGAAUCUUAUUUCAAGAUCGGACAAUGUCCACAGCAUGAAAACAUUCAGGAGAAAAAAAUUCAACCUUAGAGGGUAUGGUAGCCUCCUCAAUGGUUGAUUUUUUUUUUUAACUUCUCCACGUAAACACAUUCAUGCAUCUUGCUCAUAAAUAUUUUCAUUUUGUCUAAGAUCAAAUUUUCUUUUGGUUAGUGAGAGAGGAUUUAAAGGCUGAAUAAUGUGUAGCCAAUCAAUUUCUUACCCAUUUUUUCAUUUUUUAGGAAGUCUUAUUUUCCUAAGUGUAGUAUACAUUUAUUCAUUUUUUUAUGGCGAAUUGAUUGUACAUGAUUUUCCCCCCUUUUGGUAAAUUUUAUUUUAUCUAUUUUGUAUUGAGUGUCUACUAAAGGACUGUUAGAGUCCACCCCCUAACUAAGCUCAAUGCAGGCCUAGUCUCCUAGAUUCCCACUAUUUGUGCAUAUUUGUUUCUCAAUGGGAAAAAAACAUUUACAUAUAUUUCUUGUGAUUUCCUGAUACAUGUUUUUUUUUUCUGGGCCAAGAGAUCUGGGGAUAUGUUGAUGGGAGAGAAAGAAACUAAGAAAUGGUGAGGUAAAUAACUGAAAUAUGGAAGAAAAAUAAUGCAAAGUGAUGUGUUGUGUUUUGAGUCAGUAUGAAUCUACACAGAUGAAUAUAAUUAUACAAAUUAUGACUAGAGUUAGAAUUGCCCACUCAGUUGAAAAGCAUGUUCCAUUAAGACCAAAUUCUAAACAAGUAUUGCAGCCUUUGUGAUCUAAAUGGGUUACAAUAGUUAGAGAGUAAAAAAAUGAGAAAAUAUUAUUUAUCUUGAUCUACUAGUAUAUUUAUGAGUGUUCAAAGUUAUAUAAUUUAUGAGAACCAUUAAAUUGAUUUCAGGUGGACCAAAAAUAACAAGCAAGGGGAGAGUGAAUCAUCCCCCUUUUUUUCAUUAGAGUCAUAAAAUAAUCUUUGCUUGAUCGGG